rnacentral:rRNA from 1 species
UAGGGAAUCUUCGGCAAUGGACGAAAGUCUGACCGAGCAACGCCGCGUGAGUGAAGAAGGUUUUCGGAUCGUAAAACUCUGUUGUUAGAGAAGAACGUUGGUGAGAGUGGAAAGCUCAUCAAGUGACGGUAACUACCCAGAAAGGGACGGCUAACUACGUGCCA